rnacentral:tRNA from 1 species
GUUUUAAUAAUUUAAGUAAAAUACUGGUCUUGUAAACCAACAAUAAGAAUAAUUCUUUUAAAACA